UGUUCAAACAAUGCAGAGAUUCUGAUUUAUAUAAAAGACGCUUAGUGCAUACUGCGACAAACAAUCGAGUCUGUUAUUCAAAGGCAAAAUGAAGCUUCCAAACUCUCUCCUGCUACUGUUCCUAAUUUUGGGCAGCGUGUUGCUGGUGGCAGCCGGAGGAGGAAACAAACCUUCCGAGGCCAGACGGGAUGCAAAAGUUGGAGGAGCUUCGGCCCAGCAAAAGGCCAAGAAGGCAAACGAGCAGGCCCGAAUUGUGAAUAAAAACAAAGGAAAGUGAACCGUAGAACCUGCGUGCACAAAUUUGAUGGAAUUAAAUUUUAGAAACUAUAAUUCGUCCAAUAGUGUUUUAAAAAGUGAUUGCCAAACUAGCGGAGCUCGACCGUUACGAUUGGUCACAGUCAGCUUAUUUUAGACAACACUCCAAGAGUCAGACUUUUUGCAAUACUUGAGAACUUUGAGAAGCUAGAGUUGGAGGCAAUGUUUAAAGAAAAAAAACUCCCUACACAUUCCGCUUCGUUGAAAAUAUUCUUGAAAAAGCAGAUCUCAAAAACGGAAAUAAUCACUUGAUUUUUCCAUUAUAUUUUCCCUUUUCUAGUUAAUAAAAAGACGUUUUGAAUUUUCA